CUUCCCAUCCUCCUGAUAAAAUGUUUAACCUUGGACAUUCAGCUGCUAACUACAACCAUCCUUCAGCCACGAUUCAGUGAUGGCCACAAUAUCAUACACAACAAUCUGUAAAAGUGCAACAAGAUCGUCCGCCUUAUUUCUUAAACUCCAUGCAUUGAGAUAUAACUCUUGUGAGUACUAUAUUUGCCACUCUUUUUGAUUCUGCAUCCCUAUUGCACUGAUACCCACUUUUCUGGCUGCAAUUUUGACCUAUCACCUGCCUGCAUUUCCUGACAGUCUGACUGCACACUGUCUUUGCUUUUUUACCAUCCAUCCUAUCCUGAGUCCCUUCACUCCGGUUCCCAAAUUAACAGUCCAUGCCUGCAUGCAGCUAGGUAGCAAGUUGCAUUUAUGCCAAGAGUGCGAGUUACUGAUUUUCUCCAGCAAGAGAGACUAAUUUAUUUAUCUUUGACAUUCGUACUGCUUAAUUACCCACAUCCCACCUACGAGAAACUUCAGUGGACCAAUUACAUAAAUAUCCUGGUUACAAGAGAAAAUAAGAGGCGGAUUUUCUGUAACAAGUAACCUGACACCCCAAAGCUUUUUCACCAUCUGGAAGGUGCAUCAGGAAUGACAAACGCUGGUAAACCGCAGGGAAGCGAAUAUGGCCUUUAUUGAAGCAGGGGCAGAGAACAUCCUGGAAACUAUGCUCUUCUGCUCUAGAAGUCUGAAAUCUGUGCUGUACACAGGUUUAAUCAGGAUUUACAGCAACCAGGUGCUCUUACUGUUCCAAAAGGAAACUCUAUCCUUUUAAAUUGCUCCUAUUCCAUGUGGAAGCUAUCAAAAUACCAAGUUUCGUGGACUUUCUCCAAUGACGGGUCACGCACUUCAAAGAUAAUUGCAAACUUAACAUCCAUUAAUCCUUGGGUGUCACAUUCUCGAUAUUGUGUAAGGCACAAUUCUACACUGAAGACCUUCACCUUAACAAUUACUGACGUUCAAGUCAGUGACAAUGGAAUCUACUUCUGUAAGGUGUUUCGGAAGGCACCACCACCAAACUUUAGAGCACAAGGAAAUGGCACCCUGCUGAGUGUAACUGCUCAUCCUUCUCUUUGCAUCUUCAAAUCUUCUAAUGAGGUUGCUUCUUCGUCUUCAGUUAUCACAUGUUUAGUACACGGAUUUUAUCCAAAUAAUAUUACAUGGCGGAUAUUGCCAACAUGUCUCAGCGAACAGGUCAUCAUUACAAGUUAUUUAACCAAUCCCAAUGGAACUUAUAACUACACAAUAACUGUGAACAUCUCCACUGAAAAUUGCAUCAAUUCCACUGAAUUCACUUGUGUAGUUCAACACCCAGCAUCACAGACCAAGAUCAAUGCUACUAUCCUCAUUGUGGUGCAUGUAGGUACUCAAGGUUAUAAGUGGAUUUCCAUUUUACUUUCCAUAAGUGGAGGAACAGCUUGUGUUAUCCUUCUUCUGCUCUUCCUUAGAAAAUAUGCAUGCGAAAGAAAGAAAAUUCAAGAGCAAAAGAGAAUUCAAACCAGUAAUCGAACAUUGAACCUUGGACAGAAUGACAUGGUAAGUGUAAAAUUACUUUUUAAUAAGAUUAAGCCUCUGUAGUUAGUAAUCCAAGGCCAAUGUUCAUCUGCCUGUCAAAAUUCUGUAGUGUUCGCACACAGUCAGAUCAGGAGAAGCAGGCUCAAAUGAGUUUAAAUUUGGAUAUCGGCAAUGAAUGUGGGUGGAUCUUCAGGAUUCCUGGCGUACUGCUAAGUUUUACCUCCAAUUACACAGAAACUCAGCUACCAAACAAACACAGCAUACAGCUCAUUAGAAAUGGUGAUGUUACCUUGUAUGACAUAGUGAGCCCACAGAUUUAUGUGUUUGGACAGCUGGAUUUUUGGUCAAUAGAAAUCUGCAGGAGUCUCAUCAAUGAAUGAGAGCUGUAAGGAAGAAGUCUGCUAUGCUAAACUACAAUGGGGAACCAUGCAGAGAGCAAGGAUGGAGGAGGAGGUUGUCUACAGCCCAGUUCUUCACUGAAAGACUAACGGAGAAGGCACCUGUAAAUAAUGAAGCAGGUUAUUAAAAAUAAAUUGGAACAUUCUUCAAUAAACCCUGGAUCAAACUUGUGCAUCCAAAUCCUUUAAUGAUAUCAUUUACAAUUUGUUUAUGAUUUUUUUCAUCUUCUGAGAGUUAGUUAAAUCAUGUCAGUAUAUUGUUCCAUCUUUAUGUUGUGUUUGGGUGAAAACGUUCUGUACAUGCUGCCUUAGUGGAUUAGUCGUGUGCUAAAAGCUACUGUUCUGUCUGGCUGUCUCAGUACGGGGGAACAAGAGAUGGCAGAUGCUGAAAUUUUCAGCAACAAACGAUCUGCUGGAGGAACCAAAUGGGGUGAGCAGCAUCUGGAUGAGGGGGAGGGAAGAAAUUAUUGAUGUUUUGGGUCAAAAUUGCGGUGGUACCAUUAGUUUCUGUAUUAUGCUUCUUUAUUCUGUGCAAGCAUACAAUCAGAUGAGGUAAAAUAAAAACUUUGGAUAUAUUUUAGCCAUUGUUUCAAACUAUUUAUUUCAAAAAUAUUUAAAAGUGUCUAAAUUCUACAGCUAGAAUUUA